AUCGCGUCUUGGCCUUUUGGCUAAGAUCAAGUGUAGUAUCUGUUCUUAUCAGUUUGAAAUGUAGACAACACUACGAACUUGGUAUCAAUAUUACCCCCAUCUUAUGGUAGAUGAAACAUGGGCUUAAAAUAAAGAUUUUAAAAGUGGUUGACUGCCACUCAGUCUACAAGUACUGGACUGAAAUUUGGACCAAGGUGUCCCUUUC
rnacentral:snRNA from 1 species